rnacentral:tRNA from 1 species
GACCUUGGGACGCAAUGGCAAUGUGUCCGACUCCAGAUCGGAAGGUUGCGCGUUCAAAUCGCGUCAAGGUCA